UGGGGAAUAUUGCACAAUGGGGAAAGCCCUGAUGCAGCAACGCCGCGUGAAGGAUGAAGGUUUUCGGAUCGUAAACUUCUAUCAACAGGGACGAAACAAAUGACGGUACCUGAAUAAGAAGCCCCGGCUAACUACGUGCCAGCAGCCGCGGUAAUACGUAGGGGGCAAGCGUUAUCCGGAAUUACUGGGUGUAAAGGGAGCGUAGGCGGCACGUCAAGCCAGAUGUGAAAGCCCGGGGCUUAACCCCGUGGAUUGCAUUUGGAACUGGCGAGCUAGAGUACAGGAGAGGAAAGCGGAAUUCCUAGUGUAGCGGUGAAAUGCGUAGAUAUUAGGAAGAACACCAGUGGCGAAGGCGGCUUUCUGGACUGAAACUGACGCUGAGGCUCGAAAGUGUGGGUAUCAAACAGGAUUAGAUACCC
rnacentral:rRNA from 1 species